GUCAGUAUGGCCGUAGUGGUUUGAGUGAUGGACUAGGACUCUGGAGACCAGGGUUCAAGUCCCAGCUGGGACA